AUUGAACGCUGGCGGCAGGCCUAACACAUGCAAGUCGAGCGAGCGGCGGACGGGUGAGUAAUGUAUGGGGAUCUGCCUGAUGGAGGGGGAUAACUACUGGAAACGGUGGCUAAUACCGCAUACUAUCAGAUGAACCCAUAUGGGAUUAGCUAGUAGGUGAGGUAAAGGCUCACCUAGGCGACGAUCCCUAGCUGGUCUGAGAGGAUGAUCAGCCACACUGGGACUGAGACACGGCCCAGACUCCUACGGGAGGCAGCAGUGGGGAAUAUUGCACAAUGGGCGCAAGCCUGAUGCAGCCAUGCCGCGUGUAUGAAGAAGGCCUUCGGGUUGUAAAGUACUUUAAGCGGGGAGGCGUUACCAGCAGAAGAAGCACCGGCUAACUCCGUGCCAGCAGCCGCGGUAAUAC
rnacentral:rRNA from 1 species